rnacentral:misc_RNA from 1 species
GAUGAAGAACGCAGCGAAAUGCGAUAAGUAGUGUGAAUUGCAGAAUUCAGUGAAUCAUCGAAUCUUUGAACGCACCUUGCACCCUUUGGCAUUCCGAAGGGUAUGCUCGUUUGAGUGUCAUUGUACUCUCACACUCUCCGAUCCUAUGGAUUCGGGGAGCGGUGGACUUGGGUGUUGCUGCCUUUCCUUGUGGCUCACCUCAAAUGUGUCAGUGCACCUCUUGGUUGGACAUAGUACGGCGUGAUAAGUGUCUUCGCCGGCACCUCGCAAGAGGGUGGCCGAUCGGGAGCUCUGUGCUUUCAAACCGUCUUCGGACAAUUUCUGACAACUUGACCUCAAAUCGAGUAGGACUACCCGCUGAACUUAAGCAUAUCAAUAAGCGGAGGA